rnacentral:lncRNA from 12 species
CACCGAGAUGGCCUGGCAGAUGAGAAGCAAACGGCCUCAGGAUUAAGCGAGGCUCUAGCUGGUUUCUACCAGGAAAACCCCAAUGGAGCUCAACAUUCUUAACUUCAGAAACUGCUCAACAAAACCAAGGACCCGGAGAAACAGGGACUCUGCUGCGGGGAACAGAAGCACGAAACACCACCAGCCCCAGCGAGUCGGGCUAACACAAGCCAGAGAGUGGAUCAUCUUCCUGUCGGUUUGGAAAGGGGACCUUGAAACAAGGAGGAAAGAGAGUGGGGAGAGAGGAAUAAACCAUUUCAGGUCAGCAUCCCAGUUCCUGGUGCUACUGUAAGUAGGGUUCACCCCACUGGGGAGGUUCUGUGCUGAGCCUCCCUUCUGACAGUGAGAGGGGAGCUGCACAGGAGAUGACAGCAAAUGCACACGCGAUGUGGACCCAGGAAUGAUCAGGUUAGACAAGAUGGUGAACCACGGACAGAGGGUGAAUUACUUGGUCCAAAAGUUAAAUCAAAAAUGUCCCUUGGUGUAUUUACCCCAAAGAUACUGAUGUAGUGAAACGCCAGGACACCUGCACCCCAAUGUUCACAGCAGCAAUGUCCACAACAGCCAAACUGUGGAAGGAGCCACGAUGUCCUUCAACAGAUGGAUGGAUAAAGAAGAUGUGGUCUAUGUAUACAGUGGGAUAUUACUCAGCCAUCAGGAAGGAGGAAUACCCACCAUUUGCUUCUAUGUGGAUGGAACUGGAGGGUAUUAUGCUGAUUGAAGUAAGUCAGUUGGAGAAAGACAAUUAUCAUGUGGUUUCACUCAUAUAAGAAAUAUAAAAAAUAGUGAAAUGGACCAUAAGGGAAGGGGGGAAACUGAGUGGAGAAAACUAGAGAGGGAGACAAACCAUGAGAGACUCCUAACUCUGGGAAACAAACAAAGGGUUGCAGAAGGGGAGGUGGGUGAAAGGAUGGGAUGACUGGGUGAUGGGCACUAAAGGGGGGCACUUGAUGGGAUGAGCACUGGGUGUUAUACUAGACGUUGGCAAAUUGAAUGUAAGUAAAAUAUUUUUUUAAAAAAACUUUUUAAAUGUCCC